UCUCCGUAGGUGAACCUGCGGAGGGAUCACUACAGGCUUGCAAAAGCUCUGAAACCACUGUUUAUCUACCUGAAUCUGCUUCGCCGGCCGGCCCCCGGGCGGGGCGGUAGCCGCAAGGCGCCCGCCGUAGACCCCUAAACUCUGUCGCCUUGAGAAUCCCUGAGGAAUAUAUUAAACAGAAAAAAACUUUCAACAACGGAUCUCUUGGCUCUG
rnacentral:misc_RNA from 1 species